UACAUAGGUCUCAAGCGUUGUUCGGAUUCAUUGGGCGUAAAGGGUGUGUAGGUGGCGCUGUAAGUCGGGUGUGAAAUUUCGGAGCUUAACUCCGAAACUGCAUUCGAUACUGCGGUGCUUGAGGACUGGAGAGGAGACUGGAAUUCAUGGUGUAGCAGUGAAAUGCGUAGAGAUCAUGAGGAAGACCAGUGGCGAAGGCGGGUCUCUGGACAGUUCCUGACACUGAGACACGAAGGCCAGGGGAGCAAACGGG
rnacentral:rRNA from 1 species